UGGGGGGUGGCCUUUAGCUUUGCAGUUGCAGCUCUCCUCACCCUGGCUGUGCGCCCAGGACCUUCCCCGGAGGCAGAAAAAGCCUCUGAGUUUGCUCAGAAUCUGUUGCAAGGAAAGGUGGGCUCUGUCUUGCUGUACAUUUGGUGGGUCUCACCCUUGAGGUGGAUCAGCUUUAAGAAGAGUGACAGGUCACUAGAGGAUUUCUUUACUACUUGGGGCUUUCCGAGAAGCGUCUGUGCUUCGGUAGUUUUGGUCUUAUAAAAGUUUCCCACCUGCAGUAGAGUUUAUAAUUACUUAAGAGCUUUUUAUAAAUGAACUCGAUUUCCUUUGCACUCAGGAUAAUUUACAGAGUCAUCAGUCACUUCACUGCAGCUGGGAGCUUCACACGAACCCUGCAAACACACUUUGAAAAUGAAACCGAGUGUAAGUGGGAGCAAGGAAGCAUGCCUUUGAGGGAAAUAGAAAUGACUGUCCAGCAAAUGGUGCCUCCUGUGUAUCUGCUGAUAGGUAGAAACCCUUGACAGUUUUUGGAAAAAGGAAAAUCUUAAAUCAUUCACCAAGAUUAUGUGCAUCUCAUAAAUGAACUGAUAAAGAUUCCAGCUGAAAAGGAUCAUUCCGGUCUAAACCUCAUUAAAACACCCCUAGAUGAUUUAUUUAACAUAAAAGCACUGGAAGGCAUGCCUUUCUGCCCUCCCUUCUCCCCUCUUCCACCCCUUAACAUGUUACCAACAUUAUUUCUGCUUGCGAAUUUUUUGGUCGGCAUGGAUGGCACCUCAAAUCACAUAAGUUAAACUAAAUCACAUACAGGGCAAACAAAAACGACUGCACUUCCCAAUUUCAAGGACGUGACUUGAACGUGAACUAGACAUUUGUCUUCCUAAAACCCAGGAAACCUGAAGAUUCUAGAAGGAAUCCAAAGGUACCCUCCCCCCCCCAGUGGUCUCCUUCCUUUGAUGUAAUCCCUGGCACGUGUCUCUGACCUCCAUUUCUGUUAGAACUUUGCUCCUUAGCCUCAGGGCUCUCUACCUGCCUCUGCUCCAUGACUUUAUAUCCGUGAUUGCCCUUGGGAAGGAGAAUCUUCUUUCAAAAUUGCACCUGGGCAUUUUAAAGUAAAAAUGAUGCAAAUGCUUAAGUUGGCCGAGGAAUUAACUUCGGAGUGAAGAAUGACUAGAAUAACUGGGAGAUGAAACAGGAAGCCCUAUGACACACUUGCUCGAAAAUGACACAGGCACAGAAAAAUCAGGACUCAGCCCCUCCAGCACCUCCACCUGCUGCCCACAGCUGGAGUGCAGGGGACAAGUUGGGCCUGGGACCUGAUUCCGACGGCCAGGGACUCCAAGGGCCUCCGAGUUUGCUGAUGAUGUGUCUGCGACAUUGUGGUUGGGGUCUAGUCUGGGCAGUUUUCUACUGAUCUGGCCAGUCUCUGUGUCCUAAUCCCCUUCUCUUCAUUAAAAGCAUAACUAAAGAAA